GCGGUGCCAUCUUGGCUGAGGGCGGAGCGCGGCCCGGCCGGGCGGAGGGGGCGGGGAAGGCGGCGGAGCGUCUCGGAGGGGCCGGGUCUCCGAGCUGCGGCCUGCGGACGUCCGCUUCGGCCGCUGGGAACGCGGCGGAGGUGGCCGCGUCCUUCGCAGGGGUCCCGAGUUGUCCGCCGGGCGCUGAGCUGAAGCGCUCCGUCUGUUCUCGGCUGCUGUGGCGGUUAUAACGGCCACUGAAACGUUCACUCCGCCACGGCCUCGCGCGGUGUGCCGGGAGCCGCGGAGCUGCGCUAAUUAACGCUCAUCAAUGGCAUAGAAGGCGUUUGGGGUCUCUGCGGCUCGGCCGUGUCAGGCACAGCCCGAUGGCGCUCCGUCCGUGUUCUCUUUGAGCGUUAUUUUUGCUGACCGAUGCUCUUUGGUACGGCUUCGUGUGCGUGCCCCGAGGCCGGCUGGAGGAAGAUCCCAGAUAAUUGAUGACACCUCGAGCUACAAGCACGCUUGGCAUGCAUUACAUUUACUGGACUGAAAUUAUCUCCCCCUUUUGGGAACGUGCAGAAGGGCUGACGCUCCAAUCCACGGCUCAUCUCUCAGCCUCAGACCCUGGAGACUGGAACGGGGAACACAAGAAGCAUCAGGUUGUGGAGUUUGUAACAGAACGUGACAGAUUAAUUAACGGAGUAAUCAGCUGAAAUAUGACUUCAGGACAUGGGCUGGCCAACAUCAGAGCACUUCGAGGACACCUCCUUAAAUUAAAGUAUUCAAAGGGAAAUAAAAAGGUAUCGUUGCUUGGUAAUUUUCCCCUCUCUGUGGCUUGAAAACGAAACCAGCUUUUGUACAUGAAAAGAUUUACGUGAGAUGUGCUUGUUUGGACAGAAUUAAUAAAGCAGAACAAGACUUUGUUGAUAGGUUGGUGUCUUUGACUCACAGAUAAUUAAUCACAGGGAACUGCCCAGCUCAAUUACAGCACAAAACCACAUGUGUAACAAACCACGUCUCAGGCUUUUUCCAGUUCUCACAUGAGAACAGAGUGAAUGAGAGCCGAAGGGGCAGAACAGGCACUCAUUUACUUACAUGCAUUCGCAUGGUGUUGGGAUUCCAUCUCAUAUGUCGACUUCUCACUACUUUGGGAGCACUGUAACAGAAAUGGAUAUCGAUGUGCAGCUUAACAGCAUGGAUUAAUUUCCAAAACAAGCAACACAAAUAUUAAUCAUGAGGAAGGCAGGAAUUAAUGUCGAGGAGAGCAGGAAAGGUGCCGUAAGGCUGAGAGGACACUGACUGUUACAGUGGUGAUGCUUCAGAACUGCACUGCGGUCAGAGUCCUUCUAAAACAAGUGCCUGCACGCACACGUACCGCUCACACUGGAUCUCAGCAUGCCUGACCUCAGCCCAUUCGCCUCACUGGGGACGGGAGGGCUGGCGCUGUUCUCAGCUACGCUCAGGAUUCCAAAGGAAGGCGAUUAUCCCACGUAAGAAACCAAAGUGAUUGCAUUCCAACAUUGCAGUCCCUGCCCGUCUCCUGCUGCCGAGCGCGUGUCUGAGCAGGAAGGCCUGCUGCACGUGGGGGACUCACACAGGUGAGGGCUGUCUGACAUGGCAGGGGCAAAACCCGAACCUGGGAGCGCAGUGCAGAACUGUGUGAAACACGACGGCAGUCCCAGCAGUACGGCUGUGCCUGGGCUGUGCUGGUGGAGGUCUGGGCGUCUGAGCUCCGUGUGUUUGUGCAAAGCUGGGAUCCUGGGAGAAGAACACUUGGUGAGAUUCUGACCCUUGUGAACUUUCCUCGAAGUUACAGGCCUACAAGCACGCACAGCGCCUUUCAAAGCGAGGAAAGGACACAUCCCCACGAAGCAGGACGUGCCCAGGAGCAGCGCAGCGCUGCAUCCCCGGUGCUGUCCGAGGGCUCAGCACUGAGGUGC
rnacentral:lncRNA from 1 species